rnacentral:lncRNA from 1 species
GCCAGGGCAGUUACCAGGACGGUCUCCGGAGGCCGGGAUUCGCGGAGGGUCAACCUGGAGGAAGAAACGCCAGAAGGAAGAAACUUCAGACAGAUCGCCGGGGACGCAGCACGGGAUCCCAGCCUCAGGCCUGCGGGGACGGUGUGCGGGUCGGCCUUUCUUCUGGUCAGCCUCUCCCCGCGUCUCUGCCUCGGUCGUGUAGCCGGUUAGCAGUCGGUUUCCCGGCGGUUCCGGUUUGGGGGUCUGGGAGGGCCUGGGCAAUGCCGGCAUCUGCUUCGGAACCGCAGGGGUUUUCGUCCCCUCCCCAUCCGGAGCAGCCUCUUUGCUAGGCUAGAUCCAGACGACCGCUCCCCAAGCAAGGACAACGGCCUCCCAGGCGCUCAUUGUCCACCCGCAGGAGGGUGCCCGCAGACCUUCAAGAAGAUGGUUCUCACGCCUCUCGCCCUCUCCCUC